GGGUGAGUGGCUGAAACCAGCAGUUUGCUAAACUGCCGUACGGGUAACCGUACCGGGGGUUCGAAUCCCCCA
rnacentral:tRNA from 1 species